AAUGAACGCUGGCGGCGCGCCUAAUACAUGCAAGUCGAGCGAGAAGACGUAGCAAUACGUUUGUAAAGCGGCGAACGGGUGAGGAAUACAUGGGUAACCUACCCUAGAGUGGGGAAUAACUAGCCGAAAGGUUAGCUAAUACCGCGUACGCUCCUUGGACUUCGGUUCAGGGAGGAAAGCGAUGCCGAGGGUAUCGCGCUCUUGGAUGGGCUCAUGUCCUAUCAGCUUGNGGUGAGGUAACGGCUCACCAAGGCUUCGACGGGUAGCUGGUCUGAGAGGACGAUCAGCCACACUGGCACUGCGACACGGGCCAGACUCCUACGGGAGGCAGCAGUAAGGAAUAUUGCGCAAUGGGCGAAAAGCCUGACGCAGCGACGCCGCGUGGGGGAG
rnacentral:rRNA from 1 species